GAUCAUGGCUCAGGAUGAACGCUAGCUACAGGCUUAACACAUGCAAGUCGAGGGGCAGCAUGAUUGAAGCUUGCUUCAAUUGAUGGCGACCGGCGCACGGGUGAGUAACACGUAUCCAACCUGCCGAUAACUCGGGGAUAGCCUUUCGAAAGAAAGAUUAAUACCCGAUAGUAUAGUAUUUCCGCAUGGUUUCACUAUUAAAGAAUUUCGGUUAUCGAUGGGGAUGCGUUCCAUUAUA
rnacentral:rRNA from 1 species